rnacentral:rRNA from 1 species
GUGGGGAAUAUUGGACAAUGGGCGAAAGCCUGAUCCAGCAAUGCCGCGUGGAUGAAGAAGGUCUUCGGAUUGUAAAGUCCUUUCGGCGGGGACGAUGAUGACGGUACCCGCAGAAGAAGCCCCGGCUAACUUCGUGCCAGCAGCCGCGGUAAUACGAAGGGGGCUAGCGUUGCUCGGAAUGACUGGGCGUAAAGGGCGCGUAGGCGGUUUGGUUUGUUAGGCGUGAAAUUCCUGGGCUUAACCUGGGGGCUGCGCUUAAGACGGCCAGGCUUGAGUGUGAAAGAGGGUCGUGGAAUUCCCAGUGUAGAGGUGAAAUUCGUAGAUAUUGGGAAGAACACCGGUGGCGAAGGCGGCGACCUGGUUCAUUACUGACGCUGAGGCGCGAAAGCGUGGGGAGCAAACAGGAUUAGAUACCCGAGUAGUCC